UUCCAAUUCAUCACAAAUUAUAAUUAUUUUUGAUUAAUUCGGGUCGGGAUGUUACACACAUAGUCCUUGAAAGUAAGAUGCAAACAACAUGUUGUUGAACAAUAUCUAUGCUGUUAUGUUGAAGCUGCAAGGGUGUGUUGUCCUUUUUUUUGUUCAAACUGCAAGGGAAUGUUGAAGACGUGCUUUGAUUUCCUCUUCGAAACAGAUACCCUUCCAUCUCCAUAUCAUCCGAUUCUGGCAACUGUGAAUGGCAUCUCAUGCUGGUCCGACGAAAAGUUUUGAGCUGAGAAUGGCAGGAGGAGGCCAUGCAAUCUCAGAUAUGGGAACCACGUAGUCGCCGAUAGCAGUUUGGGAACAGAAACAGGAUUAUGUACAUAACAUAGUGAACGAUCAAGGCAGCAUGAGCACCUCAUAUUUUGUUGCAUUCACUGAUGCUAAGAUGGUAAUAGGAGAUGCAGCAUUUAACCAGAUCAUUUCACACCCUGCCAACACAAUUUUUGAAGAUCUGAUGCUGAGGGUCUUUCUGAUGGGGCAUUAUUUAUCAUUCCCAGCACCCAUGUCCUUACUGGGUUAUCAGUCCAGCCUUUCGGAAAGAUUUUCGUAUCCCUCAAGGCAGUAAGAACAACACCUCUGUGGCUAUCUGUUGUAAAGGGCUGUAGCAUCUCGAAUAAAAGGGUUCCCAAGCUGUAUAUAUCAGCCUUGACAUCUGCAUCAGCAGUCUUCCUCUCAGGUGCUCUAUAAGGUUGGAACGCCUUCAUGUAAACCUCAUCAUUCUUUGCCCCAAUUGUACGGGCUGCAAAAACAUUUUUAAACAAUAAAUUGUUAGAUCAUUAUGAGUCCUAGGUAGAUCCAUUACUACUCAAAAUCAAAGUUAAACUCUGACUCACCAAGUCCAAAAUCAGAGAUUUUGGCUUCACCAUUGCAGAAGAGAAUGUUCGCCUUGGUGAUAUCUCCGUGCAUUAUCCCUUUGCCAUGAAUGUGGUUCAGACCUUUCACAAGUCACACUUCUCUGGUGGUCCAAUUGUUCAUGCAUUGUUCAUUUGGCUGCAGCUUGUGUUCCAAGGAACUGCAGAAACACAGAGAACUGUUAGCUCCACAUACAACAUAAAAUCUCACUGAUGUUACUUCUUUUCAUGCAUUCUGAUUUGUAACUCAUUAAUCUUGAGGACUGUGGCUUGGAAGCAAAACGGAAAGGAGUUGAGGAGGGCAGAUCAAUAUAAAGCAUGAGUGAAUAACAUGGCAGAUGACCAGUUUGGCUGGGUCUUUUUUCUUGAUCUCUUAUGUAUCAAAGUAUAACGUAUGAAUCUGUAAAUAUUAAACUCUAGUUGCAUUUAAACAUUUAUAUCUAAAUGUGUAUGAUUAUAUAUUACCUGGCACAUAGUUCCAAUUGAAUGUACAAGCAUGGAUUUUCUGUUUCUAUUGGGUCCCCAUCCCAAUCUUCAUC